rnacentral:lncRNA from 1 species
GUAUAUACCUGAUUAUUCGCAGGGAAAACACAAAUCACUCAAUCAAAGUCCCAAGUUAUUAAGCAGCUGAAAUUUUAAUUACAUCGUCCAAUAGACAAUCUCAAGUCGGUUUAUGGGAGGCUGAAGCGGUCAGCGAGCGAGUGAUGGCAGUACUGCUUGCACAGUGCUUCUGUCGUGAAGCAUUGCCCGUCGCUGCAGCAGUAGCAUUUCGGCUCACAUGGUCUUUGGAUCUGCCUUUGGCACGGAAAAAUGUCUGGCCCGUGCCCCUGGCCUGCAUAACCAAGAAAAUCAACCGACCAAAAUGACACAUUAUAUACAUUGUUAGAACAUGUGUGGUUCAGUAAUCAGUAUAGUUGAGAUCUAGCAAGAAAAAAAAAGAAGGGAUAAAAAAAAGGCAUUCAUUUUCAAAACUAGCUAGGAACAAACAAAGAGAGGAUGUAAUAUUAAGCUGCUUAAUUACUCUGAGCAUGAGUGGCGAAGAAACCGAGAAGGGCCAACAGAAGCACUGCUGCUUGAGCAGCAAAUUUUGCGAAGCUCGCCAUUAGGCUGUUUGCAGUUUGCGAUGUUGCGAG